UCUUCGCCCCCUCAGCCGCACCUCAGGAGUCCGCCUCCUGCAGGGGACUCCAUACGGCGCCGGUGCCACGGCUGACCACCGCGUGCCCCCGGCGGAUAAGCCCUUCGUCUCGUUUCCGAAGCUCCUCCGGACAAGCAGCGGCUGGAGCUCGCAGAGAGAGAGCAGAUUGCCAGACCGGCAAACAAAGGGAACGGACCCAAGCUUUGUCAAUUCUGUUGAGGAAUCUGCCAUUCCAUUUCAUCAGCUACUGCAUCAAAUGAGGAAAAGGACAUCCAGUGUGAACCAUGUGCUGAUUACAGAGGUAUUGAAGUGUCUGAGAGAGGACCUGUGGUCAGUGCCCGAACGACAAGAACACAGCCACCUGAAUUAUCUUCAUGCUGAACACUUCAGACGAGAUGCUCCUUUCCAAAGGACCGAGAACGGAACAGAGGUCAAGUCAAAAUGCACAUGGCAGGCGCGUGAUCAAUUCGGAAACACCUUGCCUGUCAGGAUCAGCUUGUUCACAAACAGGUCGCUGUAACAACUUCAGACUGUGUGUGAUGGUCAGGUGAUGGAAAAGAAGUCAGCAAUUUAUCGAUGAAAUAAAUACCCACAGCUUAUGUUGAACCUGUAGACUGGGGCUCCCUCUGGUGGAACAAUGGGUUCUUUCACCAUCCACUAUGGAACAGAACUCGAUGUGAGAUUGUGCUCCCGUGACACUCAGGCAGGUUUUCAUUGAACAUCGCACCAGGAGCCCUAGUGCAUUUGAAGUCACUGGGUAUAGGGCAAAAUGUCUGCUCUGACUGGACUCAUACCUAGCAGAAAGGAAGAUGGUUCGACUUGUUGGAUGUCAAUCAGCUCAGCCCCAGGACAUUGUUGCAGGAGUUUUCAGGAUGGUAUUCUAGACGCAAAAUCUUCAGCUGCUUCAUUAAUGAUCUUCCCUCCAACCUGGAGUUGUAAGUGUGAAACGUCGCUGAUGACUGCGCAGUCUUCAGUUCUAUUUGUAACUCCUUAACUACUGUAUGUGAAGGGUCUAGGCCCGAAACGUCAGCCUUCCUGCUCCUCUGAUGCGGCUUGGCCUGCUGUGUUCAUCCAGCUCUACACCUUGUUAUCUCUGAAUUAGUAUGUGCCUGCUUACAACAAAACUGUACAACCUAUUGGCUUAGUCUGAAAAAUGGCAAGUGACAUCUGCAUCACACAACCAUCAUGCAACGACUAUCAACAGAUUACAGCAGCUUCCUCUUAACAGUCAACAACAUCACCAUCGUCAGAUUGGCCAUCAUUAACAUUCUUAAUCAGAAACAUAAUUGGACCAACUACACACAUACUGUGGAUACAAGGAUAUCUCAGAGGCUGGGAAUGUGUGUUUUCCAACUACAGGAGUCGAGGUCAGGGAAUCAUUUGGGUUCUGAAUAAACUUGUCAAUCAUUGCUUAAAACCUUCUCCGUUAUUUUUCUGAAUUUUCCAGCUGCUUUGGAACCUGCUCUGCAAUGUAAACAGGGCAACGUCUACAGCUUCACCCAUCUCCCAAUUCCUUUCUCCUGUUCACCAUUUCUCCUGAGCUACUGCCUUGAAGUACUGUUACACCAAAUUCAACCAAUGGGUCCCAUCCAUUUUAACCUCAGAACCUUCCAUCCCUGCAUUUGCCUGCAUCAAUCUUUGUCACAGGAGAACGUUCUCCCUCAGAAUUGGGAAUGGUGAUGCCCAUUCCAGUAAUCUCUCUGCUCUAGUAUCACAGUUCCUAUUAGAUGGCAGAUUUCCAGAAAUGCCAGAGAUAAAGCAGCUAGUAGUCCAGGAAACGAUGGAAUUCAAAUCUGACAAUUUACAAGAAAUACUGCAUUUGAAUCUGGAGGCAAGUGUAAAUCAGAG